GCCUGAGUGGCCGAGUGGUUCUAGGCGCUACAGUUUGGAACGCUGCGGUCGCAGGUUCGAAUCCUGCCUCGGGCA
rnacentral:tRNA from 1 species